GAGUAAUAACAUGAUGAUAAGCGAACUGUGAACAACAAUUACAAUUCAAAUACUGUAGCUAGACUUUGCAGUGGUUAAGCAAGUUGAUGGAUGUGUAAAGUCACUGGAAAGCAAUUGCAACGUACUCGUCCGGAAAAAAUUUUUCCCUAAAAAGUUGUCGAUGGGGGGGGGGGAGGUUGUUGCUUUCCGAAAAAUUUUUUUGGCGGAGCACCCCCCAUACCAGACCAUGCUGGAUCCAUCCCUGCUUG